CACGUAGGGUGCGAGCGUUGUCCGGAAUUAUUGGGCGUAAAGGGCUCGUAGGCGGUCUGUCACGUCGGGAGUGAAAACUCAGGGCUUAACCCUGAGCCUGCUUCCGAUACGGGCAGACUAGAGGUAUGCAGGGGAGAACGGAAUUCCUGGUGUAGCGGUGAAAUGCGCAGAUAUCAGGAGGAACACCGGUGGCGAAGGCGGUUCUCUGGGCAUUACCUGACGCUGAGGAGCGAAAGUGUGGGGAGCGAACAGG
rnacentral:rRNA from 1 species